GGAAGGUUAUAGCUCAGUGGCAGAGCACAUCCUUUACAUGCAAAAGGUCGCAGGUUGAAUCCCUGGUGUCUCCA